GAUGAAGAACGUAGCGAAAUGCGAUAAGUAGUGUGAAUUGCAGAAUUCAGUGAAUCAUCGAAUCUUUGAACGCACAUUGCGCCUCCUGGUAUUCCGGGAGGCAUGCCUGUUCGAGCGUCAUUAAAAUCACUCAAGCUUAGGUUUACCUAUUGCUUGGUCUUGGAGAUGGAAGCCAAUUUAUUGGAAUCCUCUUCGAAAUUCAAUGGCGAAGACCCUUGCUCUCCCAAGUGUAGUAAUAACUUAUGUCACUGAAGGAAGCGAGAAAUCUUCUGCCGUAACCCCCAUAUUUUCUAUGAUUGACCUCGGAUCAGGUAGGGAUACCCGCUGAACUUAAGCAUUCAAUAAGCGGAGGA
rnacentral:misc_RNA from 1 species